GACGAACGCUGGCGGCGUGCCUAAUACAUGCAAGUUGAGCGCUGAAGGUUGGUACUUGUACCAACUGGAUGAGCAGCGAACGGGUGAGUAACGCGUGGGGAAUCUGCCUUUGAGCGGGGGACAACAUUUGGAAACGAAUGCUAAUACCGCAUAAAAACUUUAAACACAAGUUUUAAGUUUGAAAGAUGCAAUUGCAUCACUCAAAGAUGAUCCCGCGUUGUAUUAGCUAGUUGGUGAGGUAAAGGCUCACCAAGGCGAUGAUACAUAGCCGACCUGAGAGGGUGAUCGGCCACAGUGGGACUGAGACACGGCCCAAACUCCUACGGGAGGCAGCAGUAGGGAAUCUUCGGCAAUGGACGAAAGUCUGACCGAGCAACGCCGCGUGAGUGAAGAAGGGUUUCGGAUCGUAAAACUCUGUUGGUAGAGAAGAACGUUGGUGAGAGUGGAAAGCUCAUCAAGUGACGGUAACUACCCAGAAGGGGACGGCUAACUACGUG
rnacentral:rRNA from 1 species